rnacentral:rRNA from 1 species
GACGAACGCUGGCGGCGUGCUUAACACAUGCAAGUCGAACGAUGAACCUCGAAAUGUUUUCUUCGGAAAGAUUUUUGAGAGGAGUAGUGGCGAACGGGUGAGUAACGCGUGAGCAACCUGCCUUAGACAAGGGGAUAGCCCCGGGAAACCGUGAUUAAUACCCUAUGAGACUCCACUUACGAGUGUAAGAGAAGCUAAAGCUAGUGCGGUCUAAGAUGGGACCGCGUCUGAUUAGUUAGUUGGUGAGAUAAAAGGCCACCAAGGCGACGAUCAGUAACCGGCUUGAGAGAGUGAACGGUUACAUUGGAACUGAGACACGGUCGAAACUCCUACGGGAGGCAGCAGUGGGGAAUAUUGCACAGUGGGGGCAACCCUGAUGCAGCGACGCCGCGUGAGCGAUGAAGGAAUUCGUUUCGUAAAGCUCUGUCCUUGGAGAAGAUAAUGACGGUAACCAAGGAGGAAGCACCGGCUAAAUACGUG